CUGAAACCAAACCGGUUUGACUCAGUUUCCAGUGAGAAGAUGUGGUUACUGCCCAGAACCAGGAGACACCAAGUUACAUGGCUCAGAAGUGAGAGGUCCCCAACCCAGGCUGCCAGGCACGAGGUCGCCUAACUGGCAUGAGCGGCUUGGCCAGAGACGGCCCUGGGAGGUGAGGACACAGGGUCACAGGCGCUGACGUCGGACUUCGCGCAGUGCUCCACCCCAAAGCUCGGGCUGGCGAAGACCUUAUCACCAGGUGUGAUGAACAAAAAUGACACCUGUGAAAUAACCUCCGACGCCCUUGAAGUGACAGAAGCAGAGGGGACACACGAUGCCCGGGAAAGCCCUUGGCCUGACCACCAGCACCAGCCACCGCAGGCAGGAAGCCGCUCAGCCUGCCCUGGGGAGGCGUCCUUGCUGGGGAAGCAGACACUUGAUGGUUUGCUUUGACUCCAUGAAUUUGCUGGAAGAUCCCGGACAGGGAUGCCUGUUGCAAUGUGUCAGUGGGAUGCCAAUGACUGAGCACUUACCUGGCAGUGAGACCGCCCUUCUGCACACAGCUCCCCCUGCUGGACCGAGUCUAGUGACCACGGCCUCCUGCUGCACAGAAGGUCGGAGCUUUGCCCGGAUUUUCAGCAGAAAGCCUAGUUUUUACUUGUACAGUCUCUGUACCUAGUUUUCCUGCCUUUAUUUUUUCAAGCCAGUUUUAUUGAUAUAGUAUUCACAUAUCUUAAAACCUACCCACUUAAAGCGUAUAGUUCAGCCCUAGCUAGGUGGCUUAGCUGGUUGGCACAUCGUCCCAUACGCCUCAAGGUUGAGGGUUCAAUCCCCACUCAGGGCACCUACCUAGGUUGCAGUUUCGACCCCUGGUUGAAGUGUGACAGGAAGCAACCGAUUAAUGUUUCUCUC